AGUCAGCAAGGCCGCUGAACAAAGACAUCUUGGAGGCAAACCAUCCUUCCCUCUCGUGCACCAGUCAACACGGAUGGCUUAUUCGGGAGGGACACCUGCUCCUCCAGCUGAAGAGGAUAUUCCCUGACUUGGGCCUCCUCGCCUUCAGAGCCCUGCCGCUGCCUGGGCACCCACCUAUCCUAGACGGUGAGGAGAAAAUGCUCAGCCAUGUGACCCAAGCUCACCAAUCAGGUGGUAAUCCUCACCUCCCGGCAUCCCUUGCAGCAUGGGGCAGGGUGUAAAUGCAGCCAUGUGACACAGGGUCACCAAUCAGAUGUUAGGCCUCACUUCCCAGCCUCCCUUGCAGUGUGUGUCGGGGGGAGAGAAUGAAGCCACAAGUGACUCAGGCUCACAAAUCAGAUCCUAAUCCUCACCUCCCAGCCUCCCUUUGGUGAGGUGGGGGGAGAGGAAAUGUAGCUAUGUGACCCAGGCUCACCAAUCAGGUGAUAAUCCUCACCUCCCAGCCUCCCUUGCAGCAUGGAGGUGGGGGGGAUGCAGACAUGUGACCCAGGCUCACCAAUCGGAUGCUAGGCCUCACUUCCCAGCCUCCUUUGCAGCAUGGAGGUGGGGGGAUGCAGCCAUGUGACACAGGGUGACCAAUCAGAUGUUAGGCCUCACUUCCCAGCCUCCCUUGCAGCAUUGGGGGGGGGGGUAAAUGCAGCCAUGUGACACAGGGUGAGCAAUCAGAUGUUAGGCCUCACUUCCCAGCCUCCCUUUGGUGUGGUGGGGGGGAUGAAGCCAUGUGACCCAUGCUCACCAAUCAGAUAUUUGCCUCACUUCCCAGCCUACCUUGCAGCAUGGAGGGGGGGGCAUGCAGUCAUGUGACCCAGGCUCACCAAUCAGAUGUUAGGCCUCACUUCCCAGCCUCCCUUUGGUCUGGUGGGGGGGAUGAAGCCAUGUGACCCAUGCUCACCAAUCAGAUAUUUGCCUCACUUCCCAGCCUUCCUUGCAGCUCAGAGGGUAGGGUGGAAGCAUGCAGCCAUGUGACCUAGACUCACCAACCAGAUGGUAGGCCUCACUUCCCAGCUGCCCUUUAGAGGGGCAGGGUAAUGCAGCCCAUUGACCUAGGCUCACCAAUCAGAUGCUAGUCUUCACUUCCCAGCCUCCUUUGCAAAGGUCAUAACCAUGUGACCCAGGCUCACCAACCAAAUGUUAGGC
rnacentral:lncRNA from 1 species